GUUGUUCGGAAUUACUGGGCGUAAAGGGCUCGUAGGCGGCCAACUAAGUCAUACGUGAAAUCCCUCAGCUUAACUGGGGAACUGCGUGUGAUACUGGAUGGCUUGGAUUUGGGAGAGGGAUGCGGAAUUCCAGGUGUAGCGGUGAAAUGCGUAGAUAUCUGGAGGAACACCGGUGGCGAAGGCGGCAUCCUGGACAAAUAUUGAAGCUGAGGAGCGAAAGCCAGGGGAGCAAACGGG
rnacentral:rRNA from 1 species